rnacentral:tRNA from 2 species
UCCUCGAUAGUAUAGUGGUCAGUAUCCCCGCCUGUCACGCGGGAGACCGGGGUUCAAUUCCCGUCGGGGAG